GCCAGGACUGGUGGCAGGUGCCUAUAGUCCCAGAUCCUUGGGAGGCUGAGGCAGGAGGACUGCUUGAGCCCAGGAGUUUGAGGCCAGCCUGGACAACACAGCAAGACCUUGUCUCAA
rnacentral:sRNA from 1 species